AGUAUGGUUUAAGCUCUGUGAACGAUGGGGUAGCGAGGCCUUCCAGAAAAUAUCAAGUAAAAAUUGGGACAAUAGAAGGAUGCUGAAAAUUAACCACACAACUGGUCGCAAAUCCUUUGUGAGGAUGCUAGAACAAAAGCGGGCUGAAAAUGCAAAUUUGGUGGACUUCUACAAGGAAACCCACUGGUCCAAGAAGAAAGAUAAAUUUGUGACACCUGCUACCGAAGACAUUUAUAAGGAUAUGGUAGGAAAGCCAGAUAAACGAACUGACGAAGCAGCAGCGGGUGUCUUUAGAGAGGUACUUGGGCAUCGACCGGGUUAUGCAAGAGGAUUGGGAGAGAUGGUGAUCCCCGAGUCUACAAGACAACGCUCAUUGGCACGAGAGAGAGAAUAUAUAGCUUUGAUUGAAAAACAUAAGAAAGAGGCCGAAGCUUCCAAGAGUCAGAUGGAGUCAAUGAAGGCAAACAUGGACGUUAUGAUGGAGAGACAAAACGAAACGGAUCGUAUGUUGAGGGCCAUCUUCACUGCAAACCCGUCCCUGGGUGAGUCUCCUCGAGAGACUCACUGAGGAUAUCUUUUGCGGGAAAAAGUGAGAAGGUUUUUUGUGGUAUUUUUGGUGCAUUUUUGUGCUAAGAAGGUGGAUUGACAAGGUAUAUAUAUAUAGAAUAUAUAUACCCAAUGGGAGACUAUAUGUAUAUGUUUUGUGGGAGCAAGCUUGGUUGGGAAAUCAGAUGUUUUGGCCCAGGAUAUAUCCUUAGAUAUGGGUGAUGGUACGUGGUACACGUUUUUGGCUGAUGGUUGACCAGACCAUGUCAUCUUGACCAAAUUCACGGGAGGGGGAACAAGCAGGUGAUGUCUUCAUUCCCCUAUUCGAUUUACUUCUACUAUGCACUUCUAUACAAAUGAUCAUUUAUUAGUGUUUAUUCUUUCAUAUUGUUCGUAAUCUAUGUUCCUCUUUUUCGUACGUGGGAAUUUUGGUUGUUAGCCUUGUUCUGGGAUGUCUUUAUGAAGGGUUAUAUACAGAUUUCAAAAAGUAUAUUGUGUUUUUUAAUAUGGUUAUAGGUAGUAGCAUUUGGAUUGAUGCAUUAUGAGAUAAGAAGCUGUUUAAUUUGGACAGAUUAUAACUAACAUUGGAACAUGUUACCAUGUAAUGUAUACAUGUGAUGUUAUAUGUUACAAUAUGUAGCCAGUUAUACAUGUAUGUUUGUUCAAUGGAAGGUAUUGAGUUUGAAUAAUGUGCUAUAGAAUAUAACAAGGUGAAUGGAACUUGAAUAAAGAAUAUGUAUUGUAUAGUAUUUUUGGGCCCAGGUAGCUAACUUGAAUGAAUGGAGGAAGGGCUUUUUACAUUGAUUUUGAAUUAAAUUGCACUUGUAUGGAUUGAUGUUUUAAAUGCCAAAUUGGUUAAUGGAUGGGAUAACUAAUUUGUUGGAUCUUUGUAAUGAACUAUAAAGUUUAACUAUAACUAGGGGUAGGACUGAAACAACAAUAAAUCGGUGAUGUCUUUUUGUCCAUAUAGGUGCAUCCCAUGAGUUGCACGUUGAGGGUUAUAAAAGGGGUAUAUAUAAUGUACCUGAGGAGCGCGCAAAGCUAAUGCAGCAGGCACGUUUGGGAGUUGUCAAGGAAUAUUUGGGUGGUGGGGUGAUGACGAAGUUGUACGAGAAGUAUAUAAACGCUGAAGGGUACCGUCGAGUGCAUGAGGCGCUCAUACAAUAUUGAUGGAUAGCGUCACCUUUUUGAAGGUCAAUGAUGUAGCAGACUUUUACAUCAGUGCUGAUCUUGUCAUUUGACGUAGCAAGAGGCUUCAAAUUCAAGAACCCCGGCCAAGGAUUUUUGGACCCAAUCUAUAUAAGCUUGUUAAUUAACUGGUGGAAGCCUUGCUACAUUCACUACGGGAACUUGGUCUGAGCCUCACAAUGUACUUGGAGUUGCUGAUGAUACUGAUACAGUGUAUUUAUCAAAGUAAAUGGAGAAGAGAUAAUGAGAAUUAAUAAAAUCUCUAUUCCAAUUGUUGGCCUGUAUGCACAGAAUGAUUCUGAUGAACAGAUUUCCUGCUUGUGCAGCUUCGUUAUCAUUACAUCAGAUGGUUCCUUUCAGCACAUUGAGAUCGGCCAGGAGCCAAGUGCCUCUAUGUCCUCUGUACUCACCUCAGAUAAUGGCUUAACCCUAAAGAGGCAGUUCUAUGACACUGUUUUCUGUUUUGACUACUGUCCAGAACUUUCUUUGCUAGUUGUUGUUGGUGGUUCUACCAGUGUCUCACUGGCUUCUGGUGGGAAUUCUGUGUGCAGUGAAUCUAGAAGGUAGAAAACUCCCUUGAUAACCCUGUUCCAGAGUGCAUCGAUCGAUCUUUGCCGCUCAAUCACCAAGUCAUCGCAAAAUCAUCAACAAUCGAUGUGCGAAGUUGCGGAUGACUUAACCAAAUGUUUUCAUUUUGGUUUAUACUUGUAUCACAUUUGUGUUGUCUUAGUUUGAUGUGGACUUUGUUUUUUGUAAGAGACAUUAGCUGCUCCCAUUUGUAAGAAUUUAUUGUCUUCCAUUAAUGUACCAUAUGCCAGUUUAUAGGAGGAAA